rnacentral:rRNA from 1 species
UAGUCAUAUGCUUGUCUCAAAGAUUAAGCCAUGCAUGUCUAAGUAUAAACAACUUUAUACUGUGAAACUGCGUACGGCUCAUUAUAUCAGCAAUAAUUUAUUUGAUGGUACCUUACUACUUGGAUACCCGUAGUAAUUCUAGAGCUAAUACAUGCGCAAAGUCCCGACUCUUGCGGGGAGGGAUGUAUUUAUUAGAUACAAAACCAAUUCGGCUUCGGUCGAUUUUUUGGUGAAUCAUAGUAACUGUCCGAAUCGCAUGGCUUUACGCCGGCGAUAGUUCAUUCAAAUUUCUGCCCUAUCAGCUUUCGACGGUAGUGUAGUGGACUACCGUGGCGUUAACGGGUGACGGAGAAUUAGGGUUCGAUUCCGGAGAGGGAGCCUGAGAAAUGGCUACCACAUCCAAGGAAGGCAGCAGGCGCGCAAAUUACCCAAUCCUGAUACAGGGAGGUAGUGACAAAAAAUAACAAUACCGGGCCUUUUUAGGUCUGGUAAUUGGAAUGAGUACAAUUUAAAUCCCUUAACGAGGAUCCAUUG